rnacentral:sRNA from 1 species
UCUAUUACAGCGUGGUGGAGUAAAAAAUCCUUAGAUUCUUCACCAGACUACCAGCGUUUACUCCAAGAAUCCAACUACAAAGAUAGUGAGCAAGAUUCAAGUGAUGACAAUGACCCAGAAAGUAAUGUCGCCUCACUCUAUAGCUGUUAUGUCCAGACUUGCGCACCGGAAUUCGUUCAAUGUGCGAAAACUUCAAGGACGCGCAAAGGUUUCUCAGCGUGCAAGGCCAAACAUCAUCUGUGCGCUCUUCAAUGCUGGGUGGACCUCACGGAAUCGAAGUUCGUCUGAUCCUCGACCACUGGGCGACGUCACAUCACAAUCCUUUUUCUCGUGUGUCAUUAUUCUAGAGUGCUUGACAUCACUGGGACAUGAUCCUCCAGGCGUCACGUGAUGUUCGAUGUCCCCCUGGUCCUUGGAGAUAUGCAUGGAAGAGUGAAAACGCUUGUUUAGUAAACAAAUUGUUUUGUUUUGAUUUUAAAGUUCAGACUUUUCUUUUAUUAUUAUAG